UACGGAGGGUGCAAGCGUUAUCCGGAUUCACUGGGUUUAAAGGGUGCGUAGGUGGGCAGGUAAGUCAGUGGUGAAAUCUCCGGGCUUAACCCGGAAACUGCCAUUGAUACUAUCUGUCUUGAAUACCGUGGAGGUGAGCGGAAUAUGUCAUGUAGCGGUGAAAUGCUUAGAUAUGACAUAGAACACCAAUUGCGAAGGCAGCUCACUACACGAAUAUUGACACUG
rnacentral:rRNA from 1 species